ensembl:lncRNA
GGUUCCUCAUGGAUCACUCCCUUCUCUCCACUACAGCAUUGUCACUAGCAUCGCUGUUGGGAACAUAUACCUUCCAACUGUUGGGUUCCUAGGGUCCCAACUACCUUCUCAAUUUUUUCUUUUCCAGUGUGAGUUGGGUGUUCCAGAUAAAGAAAGUAACAGGGCAGAGCCCACAGACCCACAAGAACAUGGAGUUCAGGGAAUGACCUGGAAGUCAGGGAUCUUGAAGACAUUCCCUGGGGAGAAGGCCCCCAAAGUGACUCUAAACCAACUUCCCCAGAGCCAAAGCCUUUAUUGUGCUUUUGCCUUAUGGAUCUGGUUGUCUAUUAAAAUAUGGACAUAUUUCUCAGGCUUUUGCUAGGAAUCUCUAUCCUGGAACUGUUGUGACAUAUCUGUCUACUAAGCUAAGUGGCUUCAUGACUCAUAGCUCUGCUUCAUGGAGAGACUGGAAGGCUACCCAGCUUGAGACACCAUCUUCCGCUUUCUCCCAGGAAAGUUAAGUGUGAGCGUCCCACCUUCCCACUACAAGCCUAACACUCUGUUACAAAGCUGGCAGUAGCUAGGGAUGCUGUGGUACAUUCUGUGUGCUCUUGCACAGUGCAUACCAGAGGACCAGACCAACCUCAGGAAACAGAACUUGCCAAGGGGAUUGUUUUUAACCUUCAGAACCUGAGGAGGAAGAAACCCAUAAUUCUUUCUUCUCAUUACUGGAGAGGCCCACCACCAGAUACAGCUCAUGGGUUCAUGUCCCUACUGUUCGGGUGGCUGUUCUCACCUCAAGUACUCCAAAGUAGAAACUCCCUCAGGGAUAUGACCACAGGCAUCUAGGAAAGUCCGGGAAUAGAGAAGCCUGUCCUGACAUCUUGCCUACCAUGAAGUCACGAAAUCCAAUGAAAGGACUAAAAGGAUUCAGAGUGGCUGAAAGGGGAUUGCCAACCUCAAAGAGGGUAGUCUAGCUGUUUAAAACAGAGCAGAGGGCUCUGGGAAAGGAAAUGUUGUUGGAGAGAUAAGUAAAAAGCCACAGCUCAGAGAUGCCUUCUUUUAAACACAACUGGAACAGCAUGUCCUGCUCAGAUUGUUAUGGAAUCCAUGUGUAUAAGAAAAUGAUCUGAGCACAGCAAUGGCCUGAACAGAUUGAUGGGUCAAAUCUUUAAAAGAACUUUAAGUCAAAGUGUUAGUUCAGUGCAGAGAACCUUGUGAUUUCAUUGGCCCCCUGCAUAAUCCAGGAUUAGACCCUUUCUACUUCAAGUUUGUUUGUGUAAUCACACCUUCAAAGUCUCCAUUGCCAUAUAAGGUAAGAUAACACUGAUUCUGAGGCUUUUGGGAGCAGUUUGUUUUGUUUACUAACCUUUUCCUUUGUUGUUAAGUCAGAAGAGGUAGCUGGGAGCUGUGGCAUGCCUAUAGUCCCAGGUACUUGAGAACCUGAGACUGGUUAGGAAGUUGAGGACAAUAUAGUGAAAGACGACAGUCAACUCAAACAAACACAAAACUAAGAACCUCAAAACUAAGAACCACCAACAAAACAAACAACAAGCGAAAUAGAGCCAUCUCAGAUUCUAAUUCUAUUUCUAGGUGUUGGAAUCCAGCAGUGAAUACAGAUGUGUGGUUCCUGCCAUCAGGCGCCUCACACUAUAGGGAGGAGACAGAUGAUAAGCCAACUAAUAGUUAAAUAAUUCAGAAAGCAAAAGGAAGCUAGGGAAAAAUAAAGUUGGUGGGAG